rnacentral:rRNA from 1 species
CCUACGGGAGGCUGCAGUGGGGAAUAUUCCGCAAUGGACGAAAGUCUGACGGAGCGACGCCGCGUGCAUGACGAAGGCCUUCGGGUCGUAAAGUGCUUUUGUUAGGGAAUAAAUUUCAGUAGUAUAAGAUAUUAUUGGGAUGGACUGUACCUAGAGAAUAAGCCACGGCUAACUACGUGCCAGCAGCCGCGGUAAUACGUAAGUGGCGAGCGUUAUCCGGAAUUACUGGGUGUAAAGGGUCCGCAGGCGGCUUUGCAAGUCCGGUGUUUAAACCGUUGGCUUAACCAACGGCCUGCGCUGGAAACUGCAUGGCUCGAGAGAUGAAGAGGAAAGUGGAACUCAAAGUGUAGCGGUGGAAUGCGUAGAUAUUUUGAGGAACACCAGUGGCGUAGGCGGCUUUCUGGUCAUCUUCUGACGCUCAUGGACGAAAGUUGGGGGAGCGAACGGGAUUAGAUACCCCUGUAGUC